UCUGGCUAUAUCUUCUUUCCCUGGCCCAAUCCUUGACAUAUCCCCUCAGAUGGGGUUGGGAUGGACAGUGGCAUAAAACCAACUCUGAAGAUUCUCCUACACUCUACACCUAGCCAGGUGUGCGGUCACUGGGGAGCUAGCUGACCAUAUAGAAUGUAUUUUUCAUACACAUCUGCUAAUGUCCACUAUAGAACAUGAGAGGGCGCCUAGCUGAGAUAUGAGAGCUGUACAUUCAAGUCUGUGCUCCUGAUUUGGAGCUUUCUGGGUUCUAAAAAUCCUUGCAACCAAUCAGGAAAAAAGGAUGUGAAUUUUAGCAAUGAGGGUUAUGGACCACUGGAACAAUUUACCAAGACUUGUGAAGAUUUGCCAUUGCUGGCAAUAAAAGCAAUA